UACGUAGGGUGCAAGCGUUGUCCGGAAUUAUUGGGCGUAAAGAGCUCGUAGGCGGUUUGUCGCGUCGGCUGUGAAAACCUGGGGCUUAACUCCGGGCCUGCAGCCGAUACGGGCAAGCUAGAGUUCGGCAGGGGAGACUGGAAUUCCUGGUGUAGCGGUGAAAUGCGCAGAUAUCAGGAGGAACACCGGUGGCGAAGGCGGGUCUCUGGGCCGAUACUGACGCUGAGACGCGAAAGCGUGGGAGCAAACAGG
rnacentral:rRNA from 1 species